GACGAACGCUGGCGGCGUGCCUAAUACAUGCAAGUCGAGCGCAGGAAGCUGACGGAACUCUUCGGAGAGAAGGCAGUGGAAUGAGCGGCGGACGGGUGAGUAACACGUAAGGAACCUGCCUCAAGGAUUGGGAUAACUCCGAGAAAUCGGAGCUAAUACCGGAUAGUUCAACGGACCGCAUGGUCCGCUGAUGAAAGGCGCUUCGGCGUCACCUUGAGAUGAGCCCGCGUAGGAUUAGCUAGUUGGUGGGGUAAAGGCCUACCAAGGCGACGAUCCUUAGCUGGUCUGAGAGGAUGAUCAGCCACACUGGGACUGAGACUCGGCCCAGACUCCUACGGGAGGCAGCAGUAGGGAAUUUUCGGCAAUGGGCGCAAGCCUGACCGAGCAACGCCGCGUGAGUGAUUAAGGCCUUCGGGUUGUAAAGCUCUGUUGUAAGGGAAGAACAUUCAGGAUAGGAAAUGAUCUUGAACUGACGGUACCUUACCAGAAAGCCACGGCUAACUACGUGCCAGCCGCCGCGGUAA
rnacentral:rRNA from 1 species